rnacentral:rRNA from 1 species
UAGGGAAUCUUCGGCAAUGGACGAAAGUCUGACCGAGCAACGCCGCGUGAGUGAAGAAGGUUUUCGGAUCGUAAAACUCUGUUGUUAGAGAAGAACAAGGACGUUAGUAACUGAACGUCCCCUGACUGUAUCUAACCAGAAAGCCACGGCUAACUACGUGCCAGCAGCCGCGGUAAUACGUAGGUGGCAAGCGUUGUCCGGAUUUAUUGGGCGUAAAGCGAGCGCAGGCGGUUUCUUAAGUCUGAUGUGAAAGCCCCCGGCUCAACCGGGGAGGGUCAUUGGAAGCUGGGAGACUUGAGUGCAGAAGAGGAGAGUGGAAUUCCAUGUGUAGCGGUGAAAGGCGUAGAUAUAUGGAGGAACACCAGUGGCGAAGGCGGCUCUCUGGUCUGUAACUGACGCUGAGGCUCGAAAGCGUGGGGAGCAAACAGG